rnacentral:rRNA from 1 species
UCUGGUUGCAAUAUCGUUGGGGUUACACCUGUUCCCAUCCCGAACACAGUAGUUAAGCCCUUCAGAGCCGAUGAUACUUGGUGGGAAGCUGCCUGGGAAAGUAGGACGCAGCCGGUU